rnacentral:rRNA from 1 species
GAUGAACGCUAGCGGCAGGCUUAAUACAUGCAAGUCGAGGGACAGCACAGGUAGCAAUACUGGGUGGUAACCGGCAAACGGGUGCGGAACACGUACACAACCUUCCUUUAAGUGGGGGAUAGCCCAGAGAACUUUGGAUUAAUACCCCGUAAUAUAGUUGAAUGGCAUCAUUUGAUUAUUAUAGCUACGGCGCUUAAUGAUGGGUGUGCGGCUGAUUAGUUAGUUGGCGGGGUAACGGCCCACCAAGUCUACGAUCCGUAGCUGAUGUGAGAGCAUGAUCAGCCACACGGGCACUGAGACACGGGCCCGACUCCUACGGGAGGCAGCAGUAAGGAAUAUUGGUCAAUGGACGCAAGUCUGAACCAGCCAUGCCGCGUGAAGGAUUAAGGUCCUCUGGAUUGUAAACUUCUUUUAUUUGGGACGAAAAAGGGCCUUUCUAGGUCAACUGACGGUACCAGAUGAAUAAGCACCGGCUAACUCCGUGCCAGCCGCCGCCGUAAUAC